UUUCAAUAUGACCCUGUCAACAAAGCACGCGUUCUGAUCGAUGUGUCGACAAUUCCGUCUCUGGUGUGAAAGCUCCCACUGACUGGACACAUGUUCGGAAAAGUAUUAAUAACACGCAAAGGCCUUCAGACGUCCGAAUAUAUGGACGAUACAGUUCAUCGUGUAUAGUUCCACCCUACCAACAUCUUCCCCCCCGGUCUUGAAACAUCUGUGCUGCUGCAUGAGACCCUGGACACACACACACACACACACACACACGCACGUUUCUGGACCAUUUGCUCUGUAUUCAUGUGUGGACAGACUUACUGUACAUUGCCUCUUUUCCCAUCUGCUGACAGUUUUCCCGACACUGGAUCCGAGCGACGCGGACCACCGGGAGCCGGGAAUGUCGGCGCAGCGUGGCCGCAGGAUGUGACUCAUCGCGGAUCACGGGACUUUAGCUUCAGGUGCAGGACGACUGCAAGAGAGGAAAACAUUUCUGGGCCAUUUAAAGUUUCAUAGACCUCCUGAACACAUCACGUGUAUCACUCUGAGCACGUGCUUCUGUUCCCCGCGGACGGUUUUCCAGGUUCCUGGAAUCAGUCGGUUUUCAGCGAACGGCCAAACAGAACAAGGUCGGAGGCAGAUGAGGUUUUUAAAGGUUUGACUAUGAAUCUCGGGGACGAGACGGACGAAUGGCCGAGCAGAAUGAAUCACUUCGGGGUUCCAGCAGGUGAGGAUUCUUCCAAGCGGUUUGAUUUCUGAGAGUCUUGGUCCGGAGGAGGAGCAGGCCGACGUCCAGUGUCCAGUUUCCUUUUAUACUUCCUCUUUUUAAAGCCCAAAAAAGAAAAAUCUAACCAUUACUUAAUUAGUAAUUGAGUCUAUUUAUGAACAGAUACAUAAUUUAAUUUGUAAACUACUUUAAUAAAGUGCUUCAUCACUGUGAAUGAAGCACUUUGGUCUCCAGGCUGCGUCGUCGUCGUCGUCGUCUCCUCCUCCUCCAACAUUUCCCGUCAGCUCUGACGCUCCUGACGCGCGGAGGCGGGACGGAGACUGACGGGACGACAAAUGAGAGCCGGCUCCGGAGCAGCAGUUCAGAAUAUCAGGGCUUCUCUCUCCUCAUCACUUUCUCCUCAGGCAGCGUCAGUCAGUCAGUGUCAGGGCGAAAAAAGCUUCAGUCAGUGAUUUAUGAUUAAAAA
rnacentral:lncRNA from 1 species